AAGAAUAUUGAAGUGAUUGACCUGGACACCAUUGAUGUCAGCAACCUCAACAGACAAUUCCUGUUUCAGAAGAAACAUGUUGGAAAGUCUAAAGCUCAGGUAAACUGUAUCACUGACUUCCACGUGUGUGAUUUAAAAAAUCAGACAAUGAUUCCCUCAGAACCCAUUCCCUGCAUCGUGUUGGCCAGAUAUCUCUUCAAGUAAGUUCUCUACACUAAUAUGUCUCGUUGAAAUGUAAUGAUUUGUAAUUUAUUUUGUUUUCCAUGUUUUGUUCUGUUUUGUUUCAGUUUUAAUGCACUUUCCACAAACAAUACUGAAUGUAAAGGAAAAUCCACAGCUGUGAAUUAAUGAUAGAGAGAGCGGUUGUGCGUGUGUGUAUUCGCUGUGUCUGUACAGUGUGUCUGUAAUAAUAGUGUUGCAAGUUUAAUUACUUCAGAAGCAUUGUGAAGUUGUUGUAGCCUUUUAAUGUGCUAUCGAAGCUUCUUUAUGAAUAAAUAUCGAGUUUGUAGCAUUGACAAGUUUUUGUGCUCCUCAAUGUUUCUGUAUGCACAGUGCAGUCUCUGAUGUUUGUGUGCUUCAGUGCAGCGCGGUAGAAUAGAACAGUGAUUAAACUGACAGGACUUUCCCUCAAAAACACAUUAAAACCACCAGUUGUUGACCAUUUACCACCACAGGGGUAGAAAACUGUAACCGUCGCAGCACUAGUCUCGUCACAGAGGCUAAACUGAUGAUAUUCAUAAACUACGGCCCUAUGAAAUCAGUUUGACCCAUUCCCAAAACCUUUUUUUUAUGUUUUUAUUUUUCAUAAGUAUGUUUUUAAUGGUUUUAAUUUUUAAUCAUCAAAAAGGAUUUCUAAUCAGUUAAAUUCAUAAAACUGUAACAAUUAAAAAUUUCUUCAAAUUAGCAAUAAUAGGGCACUAUGUAAUUAAGUUUUUUUCUCCCACCACGUUACAUUGUUUUAUGAUUUGAUACAAAUUUAUUGAAAAUGGUGGAUGUCAAAUAAAUUCAUAAUACUUUACCAAAAUAAGGGAACAAAUAUUGUGUGACAUUCCUUUUCCUAGAUUGUUUUAAUAAACCAUUUUAAUAAACUGUAUUAAUCUUAUUGUUAGUAUUACUUUGAGAAGUACGUUCUGCUUUAUAAUAGUAAAAUAUUUCGGUCAUCAUUUCUUUAAAGUAUUUUUUGGUGGGUUAAGUGAAGAGUUUCUGUGUGUAUCUGAUGAUAGUUUCAUCAAGGGAAAUGGUGUAUGAAUACUAUUAACUUGUAUUUGAAAGCUAUUUUAAUUAUUCUCCUCUGCUUGCAUGUUAUUUUGGAUUGCCUCCCUAGUCAGCUUUUUGGCGAGGAGGAUGAGGAUCAGGAAGUUUCACCUGACACAGCUGACCCUGAGGCUGCUUGUCUCACAUGCAGGACCUGAAGGAUGUGACCAAUAAUGUUCACUAU